GCCUGACUGGCUCAGUCAGUAGAGCAUGCAACUCUUGAUCUCAGGGUUGUGAGUUCAAGCCUCACAUUGGGCU
rnacentral:tRNA from 1 species